UACAGAGGGUGCUAGCGUUGUUCGGAAUCAUUGGGCGUAAAGGGCGUGUAGGCGGUUUGUUAAGUCAUGUGUGAAAUCCCUCGGCUCAACCGGGGAACGACGCAUGAAACUGGCAAGCUAGAGUACCAAAGAGGGGGGUGGAAUUCCCGGUGUAGCGGUGAAAUGCGUAGAUAUCGGAAGGAACAUCAGUGGCGAAAGCGGCUUCCUGGACCAGAACUGACGAUCAGGCUCGAAAGCGUGGGGAGCAAACAGG
rnacentral:rRNA from 1 species